CGGCCGCGUCGACGGGAAGGCCAACCGCAGGGGGUAAGAGGUCCCGUAGUUAAAAAGUCGAUAAAUUUAGAACGUAUCCUGAGUACGGCGGAACACGAGGAAUUCCGUCGGAAUCCGGGAGGACCAUCUCCCAAGGCUAAAUACUCCUUGCUAACCGAUAGUGAACCAGUACCGUGAGGGAAAGGUGAAAAGCACCCCGGAGGGAGUGAUAGAUCUCA
rnacentral:rRNA from 1 species